rnacentral:rRNA from 1 species
CCCCCUACCCGGGGGGCCCGCGGUUAAGCCUGCCGGUAGCCUACGAAACUCUGUUUAA